UACCAGCACCCCGAGUGGUCGGGACGUUUAUUGGGCCUAAAGCAUCCGUAGCCGGUUCUACAAGUCUUCCGUUAAAUCCAACUGCUUAACAGGUGGGCUGCGGAAGAUACUAUAGAGCUAGGAGGCGGGAGAGGCAAGCGGUACUCGAUGGGUAGGGGUAAAAUUCGUAGAUAUCGAGAAGAACACCGGUGGCGAAGGCGGCCAUCUGGACGGUGACUGACGCUGAGACGCGAAAGCGUGGGGAGCAAACAGG
rnacentral:rRNA from 1 species